AAGGAUUCCCUCAGUACGGGCGACGGAAGCGGGAAAAGCCCACAUUGGUAAUCUCCGGGCGCUAGCUCGGCGAAUUGUAAUCUGAAGAUCGUUAGUCUAAUUGGGCCCGACGCCGAAGUGCGCGCGAGCGCGCCGCCAAAGAGGGUGAGAGCCCCGUCAGGCGCUGGGCCCUACAAGGGCUGGCAAUCGAAGAGUCGUGUACUUUGAUACUAGUGCACCAAGCGGGAGAUAAACUUCUUCUAAGGCUAAAUAUAAGUAGGAAACCGAUAGCGAACAAGUACUGUGAAGGAAAGAUGAAAAGCACUUUGGAAAGAAAGUUAAAAGACUUGAAAUCGUUGAGGCGGACCCGGUAGAAAUGUAUUCUAGCGAAGCGCUCGGGGAAGCCUGUAUUCGGGCCACUUGAGCGCCAGCCGAGACAAGAUGGAGUCGCAUCAUGCCAGAGGCGGCGCGCUUUGUAGCUUGCUAUAGAGCGCGCUGGCCGGGCGUGGCGCGGCUUGAGGGGCCUUGUGCGAUCUUGUCAAAAUGGUUUUUACCGACUCGUCUUGAAACACGAACCAAGGAGUCUAAGACUAACGCGAGUGUGGUGGUGGAGAAACCAACACGCGAAAUGAAAGUAAAUGAUGCCAAGCACCCUGCAGCAUCGACCGACUUUUUUCUCUUGGAAGAGGUUUGAGUAAGAGCGUUAUUCUUAGGACCCGAAAGAUGGUGAAACUAU
rnacentral:rRNA from 1 species